rnacentral:tRNA from 1 species
CGGGAUGUGGCGCAGUUUGGUAGCGCGCCUGCCUUGGGAGCAGGAUGGCGCAGGUUCAAAUCCUGUCAUCCCGA